rnacentral:rRNA from 1 species
UACGAACUGUGCGAACGUUAUUCGGAAUCACUGGGCUUAAAGGGUGCGUAGGCGGUUAUCUAAGUCACGUGUGAAAUCUUCCGGCUCAACCGGAAAACUGCGCGUGAAACUAGAUGACUUGAGUGAGGUAGGGGUGUGUGGAACUUCCGGUGGAGCGGUGAAAUGUGUAGAGAUCGGAAGGAACGCCAGCAGCGAAAGCGGCACACUGGGCCUUUUCUGACGCUGAGGCACGAAAGCUAGGGGAGUGAACGGG